UAGGGAAUCUUCGGCAAUGGGGGCAACCCUGACCGAGCAACGCCGCGUGAGUGAAGAAGGUUUUCGGAUCGUAAAGCUCUGUUGUAAGAGAAGCACGUGUGUGAGAGUGGAAAGUUCACACAGUGACGGUAACUUACCAGAAAGGGACGGCUAACUACGUGCCAGCAGCCGCGGUAAUACGUAGGUACCGAGCGUUGUCCGGAUUUAUUGGGCGUAAAGCGAGCGCAGGCGGUUUAAUAAGUCUGAAGUUAAAGGCAGUGGCUUAACCAUUAUGUGCAUUGGAAACUGUUAAACUUGAGUGCAGAAGGGGAGAGUGGAAUUCGAUGUGUAGCGGUGAAAUGCGUAGAUAUAUGGAGGAACACCGGUGGCGAAAGCGGCUCUCUGGUCUGUAACUGACGCUGAGGCUCGAAAGCGAGGGGAGCAAACAGG
rnacentral:rRNA from 1 species